GAAAUGCGAUAAGUAGUGUGAAUUGCAGAAUUCAGUGAAUCAUCGAAUCUUUGAACGCACAUUGCGCCCCUUGGUAUUCCAUGGGGCAUGCCUGUUCGAGCGUCAUUUGUACCCUCAAGCUCUGCUUGGUGUUGGGUGUUUGUCCCCGUCUCCGCGCGUGGACUCGCCCCAAAGUGAUUGGCAGCCGGCGUACUGGUCCCGGAGCGCAGCACAUGUCGCGCAAACGAGUGCCUUGGUACGGCGGCGUCCAUAAGCCCCUCUCUCACGCUCUUGACCUCGGAUCAGGUAGGGAUACUCGCUGAACUCAGGC
rnacentral:misc_RNA from 1 species